GACGAACGCUGGCGGCGUGCUUAACACAUGCAAGUCGAACGGAAAGGCCCUGCUUUUGUGGGGUGCUCGAGUGGCGAACGGGUGAGUAACACGUGAGUAACCUGCCCUUGACUUUGGGAUAACUUCAGGAAACUGGGGCUAAUACCGGAUAGGAGUUCCUGCUGCAUGGUGGGGGUUGGAAAGUUUCGGCGGUUGGGGAUGGACUCGCGGCUUAUCAGCUUGUUGGUGGGGUAGUGGCUUACCAAGGCUUUGAAGGGUAGCCGGCCUGAGAGUGUGACCGGCCAAAGUGGGACAGAGAUACGGCCGAGAGUACUACGGGAGGCAGCAGUGGGGAAUAUUGCAUGAUGGGCGGAAGCCUGGUGCAGCAACGCGGCGUGCGGGAUGACAGACUUCGGGUUGUAAACCGCUAACGCCUGUGAGGGUGCGUGAUUGACGGUAAUGGGUAAAGAAGGACCGGCUAACUACGUG
rnacentral:rRNA from 1 species